GGGAGUUUAGCUCAGCUGGAGAGCAUCUGCCUUACAAGCAGAGGGUCAGCGGUUCGAUCCGUUAACUCCAU
rnacentral:tRNA from 1 species